rnacentral:rRNA from 1 species
CCUACGGGAGGCAGCAGUGGGGAAUUUUGGACAAUGGACGCAAGUCUGAUCCAGCCAUGCCGCGUGCGGGAAGAAGGCCUUCGGGUUGUAAACCGCUUUUGUCAGGGAAGAAAAGGUUCUGGUUAAUACCUGGGACUCAUGACGGUACCUGAAGAAUAAGCACCGGCUAACUACGUGCCAGCAGCCGCGGUAAUACGUAGGGUGCAAGCGUUAAUCGGAAUUACUGGGCGUAAAGCGUGCGCAGGCGGUUAUGCAAGACAGAGGUGAAAUCCCCGGGCUCAACCUGGGAACUGCCUUUGUGACUGCAUAGCUAGAGUACGGUAGAGGGGGAUGGAAUUCCGCGUGUAGCAGUGAAAUGCGUAGAUAUGCGGAGGAGCACCGAUGGCGAAGGCAAUCCCCUGGACCUGUACUGACGCUCAUGCACGAAAGCGUGGGGAGCAAACAGGAUUAGAUACCCUGGUAGUCCACGCCCUAAACGAUGUCAACUGGUUGUUGGGAGGGUUUCUUCUCAGUAACGUAGCUAACGCGUGAAGUUGACCGCCUGGGGAGUACGGCCGCAAGGUUGAAACUCGAAAUAGAGUAGACGCGUGAGACGAGCGACGGACGACGACGAGGGAGGAGG